rnacentral:tRNA from 1 species
UGCCGGAUCGUCUAAUGGUAGGACUGCAGACUCUGAAUCUGCCUAUGGAGGUUCGAUUCCUCCCCCGGCAA